rnacentral:rRNA from 1 species
UAAUACAGAGUCCCCAAGCGUUAUCCGGAUUUAUUGGGCGUAAAGCGUUCGUAGGCGCCUUGUUAGGUUUUCUGUUAAAUUUUUAGCGCUCAACGUUAGAACUGCAGAAAAAACCGGCGAGGUUGAGGGCGUUAGAGGCUGGCGGAACGGUCGGUGUAGGGGUGAAAUCCGUUGAUAUCGACCGGAACACCGAAAGCGAAGGCAGCCAGCUGGGGCGACCCUGACGCCGAGGAACGAAAGCGUGGGUAGCGAACGAGAUUAGAUACCUCGGUAGUCCACGCUGUAAACGAUGGACACUAGCUAUUUGAAGUGUCGACCCUUCAAGCGGCGAAGCUAACGCGUUAAGUGUCCCGCCUGGGAAGUACGGCCGCAAGGCUA